CACGUAGGCACCAAGCGUUGUCCGGAUUUAUUGGGCGUAAAGAGCUCGUAGGCGGUUCAGUAAGUCGGGUGUGAAAACUCUGGGCUCAACCCAGAGACGCCACCCGAUACUGCUGUGACUUGAGUACGGUAGGGGAGUGGGGAAUUCCUGGUGUAGCGGUGAAAUGCGCAGAUAUCAGGAGGAACACCAGUGGCGAAGGCGCCACUCUGGGCCGUAACUGACGCUGAGGCGCGAAAGCGUGGGGAGCAAACAGG
rnacentral:rRNA from 1 species